AGGCUUAGAGUUUGAUCCUGGCUCAGAUUGAACGCUGGCGGCAGGCCUAACACAUGCAAGUCGAGCGGUAGAGAGAAGCUUGCUUCUCUUGAGAGCGGCGGACGGGUGAGUAAUGCCUAGGAAUCUGCCUGGUAGUGGGGGAUAACGUUCGGAAACGGACGCUAAUACCGCAUACGUCCUACGGGAGAAAGCAGGGGACCUUCGGGCCUUGCGCUAUCAGAUGAGCCUAGGUCGGAUUAGCUAGUUGGUGGGGUAAUGGCUCACCAAGGCGACGAUCCGUAACUGGUCUGAGAGGAUGAUCAGUCACACUGGAACUGAGACACGGUCCAGACUCCUACGGGAGGCAGCAGUGGGGAAUAUUGGACAAUGGGCGAAAGCCUGAUCCAGCCAUGCCGCGCGUGUGAAGAAGGUCUUCGGAUUGUAAAGCACUUUAAGUUGGGAGGAAGGGCCGUUACCUAAUACGUGAUGGUUUUGACGUUACCGACAGAAUAAGCACCGGCUAACUCUGUGCCAGCAGCCGCGGUAAUACAGAGGGUGCAAGCGUUAAUCGGAAUUACUGGGCGUAAAGCGCGCGUAGGUGGUUUGUUAAGUUGGAUGUGAAAUCCCCGGGCUCAACCUGGGAACUGCAUUCAAAACUGACUGACUAGAGUAUGGUAGAGGGUGGUGGAAUUUCCUGUGUAGCGGUGAAAUGCGUAGAUAUAGGAAGGAACACCAGUGGCGAAGGCGACCACCUGGACUGAUACUGACACUGAGGUGCGAAAGCGUGGGGAGCAAACAGGAUUAGAUACCCUGGUAGUCCAC
rnacentral:rRNA from 1 species